AGAACGAACGCUGGCGGCAUGCCUAAUACAUGCAAGUCGAACGAACACUUCGGUGUUAGUGGCGCACGGGUGCGUAACGCGUGGGAAUCUGCCCUUGGGUUCGGAAUAACAGUUGGAAACGACUGCUAAUACCGGAUGAUAUCGAAAGAUCAAAGAUUUAUCGCCCAGGGAUGAGCCCGCGUAGGAUUAGCUAGUUGGUGAGGUAAAGGCUCACCAAGGCGACGAUCCUUAGCUGGUCUGAGAGGAUGAUCAGCCACACUGGGACUGAGACACGGCCCAGACUCCUACGGGAGGCAGCAGGUAGGGAAUAGUUGG
rnacentral:rRNA from 1 species